GACGGAGGUCCCGAGCGUUGUUCGGAAUUAUUGGGCUUAAAGCGCGUGUAGGCGGAGCCGUAAGUACCUUGUGAAAUCCCCGGACUCAAUCCGGGAACUGCUUGGUAUACUGCGGUUCUCGAGGCAGGUAGGGGUCACUGGAACCUUAGGUGGAGCGGUGAAAUGCGUAGAUAUCUAAGGGAACGCCUGUGGCGAAAGCGGGUGACUGGGCCUGUCCUGACGCUGAGACGCGAAAGCGUAGGGAGCAAACGGG
rnacentral:rRNA from 1 species